UUUUGACAUGGGGUUUUUAUAAAGUUAACAAACGAAAAUAUUGUGGUAUAUUAAAAAUGGAGACAAGUGCCUCUGAGGAAGAGAAAAUUGAUAAAGAAGAAGUUCAGCGAUUUGAACUCGAAUGUGAAUUUGUACAGUUGCUAGCUGAUCCUUUAUACUUACAGGAACUUGCAAGGCAUAAAUAUUUUGAGGAUAAGAGUUUUCUUAAUUACCUAAAAUAUCUUCAGUACUGGAAAGAACCGCAAUACUCCCAGUUUCUUAGAUUUCCUCAGUGUCUCUUUUUCUUGGAUAUGUUACAGCAAGCUAGUUUUAGGGGCCUUGCUUACUUCCGACGAUUUCGUUUCUAAUUUAAAACAACAACAACAUCUACACUGGCGUUACUAUU